UUUUUCACGUCUGUGUGUACACACGUCUGCAAACCAUUUGCUCGCAUGCACGAUUUCGCAGGCGAUUACACCCUACGCAGAUGUUGCAUGCAGCAUCAGGAUAUGAAUGACGUAGACAAAUCCGGGUUGCAUGUCAAACGAAGAACAUAGCCAUGAAUGAAAAGCCAUGGAUGCAAUUGCCAGUGCAGCCAAGCAGUCGAACUACGUUGGUCACGGCGAGGCGACGGUGUCCCCAGUGAUCACCCUCAUCAUCCUCAUCACCGGCGUCGUCGGGGGGCUCUUCAUCGUCGUGUGCGUCAUCAUCUUCUGCAAGUACUGCGUCAAAGCCAAGAAACAUUU